rnacentral:rRNA from 1 species
GAUGAACGCUGGCGGCGUGCCUAAUACAUGCAAGUCGAGCGAACAGACGAGGAGCUUGCUCCUCUGACGUUAGCGGCGGACGGGUGAGUAACACGUGGAUAACCUACCUAUAAGACUGGGAUAACUUCGGGAAACCGGAGCUAAUACCGGAUAAUAUAUUGAACCGCAUGGUUCAAUAGUGAAAGACGGUUUUGCUGUCACUUAUAGAUGGAUCCGCGCCGCAUUAGCUAGUUGGUAAGGUAACGGCUUACCAAGGCAACGAUGCGUAGCCGACCUGAGAGGGUGAUCAGCCACACUGGAACUGAGACACGGUCCAGACUCCUACGGGAGGCAGCAGUGGGGAAUCUUCCGCAAUGGGCGAAAGCCUGACGGAGCAACGCCGCGUGAGUGAAGAAGGUCUUCGGAUCGUAAAACUCUGUUAUUAGGGAAGAACAAAAGUGUAAGUAACUAUGCACGUCUUGACGGUACCUAAUCAGAAAGCCACGGCUAACUACGUG